CCCAAGCCCUGCUCCCCGUUGAGCGUCUGCGGCGCUCUCUCCCGCUCCCCCAGACUUUUUCUUUGUUAUUUGUAACUCGGAAUAAGUUUAUGAUCUCAUUUUGACGUUAGAAGUUCAGCAUUAAAACAAUAACCAGUCUCAACCAUAAAACCUGCAGUCUUGGCAAGUGCAGCUCAUGAGUUUGGGAAGAAAAGAGAAACCCUGUAAUUCUCAGGUUUCUUAGCUGAGGAUCAGGGCAAUUUGGUUUUGAUGCUGUGCCAGGAAUCUCCUGACAAUGAGUUACUGGAACUUGGAGAAAAGGAGUCGUGUGCAGUACCGCAGGCAUUUUCUGGUGGACA